UGUGUCGUAUUUUGCAUAGGCUGAUGUUGUUGUAGGAAUGACUCUCUAGCUGAGUUGGUUGUAACAUCUCCCUCAACAAGAAGGAACCAAACAUAAUUGAUUCUUAUCAAACAAUGCAAUUUUAUAAGAUUUCAUGAGUGUUGAAGUUUGUCCUCAAUGUCCUCAUAUUGUCAAAACUAUUAUGCAUGUUACGAAUGGUCUGAUAGUAUUCAUAUAGGGUUUAGGGUUCAGUGCUCACAUUCCUUCUUCGUGUGUUUUUAAUCUUUUCUGACCAACUACUAUGUUCUGAUUCAUUAUCCUGUUAGUUAACUCUCUAUGUACUUUUGUGUAGCCAUGGGUAAUGAAAAGGGAAACAGUUAUUGCGAAAAGAAUUGCCACCAAAAUUUUGACAGAAGUGGGACCGAGAAAGUUACUCGUGACAAGUAUGAGGGAAGACUGGGUUGCAAAAAAUGCAAAACAACCAGCUCCUAAACCAGUAGAUAUGAGCAUCAGUUCCAACAAUUUGGUAAAGGAUGGAGCGAGAGGCAGCGAUGCUUUUUACGGUGGCGGAAGCUGCUCCUCCAGUGGCAAGAUCCCGUGGGGUAGAUUUUAACUGUUGCAAAAUAAUGGUCAAUUGGUGGGACGAUAUUGACUUCACCAAGGGACAAAGGAGACAUGUUACUUUCAGCAUCCGACAACACUGAUAUAACAUUUAGUGUACACUUCGCUUUUGAAACCCAAUCAGAAUUAUGGCCCGGUCAGUUUGAGGAUCCAAUAAUUCCAGGUCUCUCUUUUCUCUCUUCUCUCUUUCCCCCUCCCUAUAUGUAGUUUAAUAUAAUUGAACAGCUCUAUUUAAUUUAAGAUUUAGUUGGAAGUGUUUGAGAUUUAAUUAAGUGAUAGUUUGGUUUCAUAGAUCAAUAGUAAAAAAGAAAUGUAAGAUUCAAAUGGUGGAGAAAGAAAGGCCUUUUACGAUUUUAGAAGAUGCGGUCCAUGAAGAUGAUUCACUGGAUAGGAGCAUUGCGAUUUGUGAGUUUUCAUAUUUGAAUUAGUUCCAUUAUGUUUGCAAUGCGAGUUCUUGAAAUGGUUUGGUUCUUCUUGGACCCUGCUAUGAAAGAAGGUUAUUGAAAAUAUUUUAGUAA